UGCAUGGACAGUGGGAGCAAACAGGACCUACUGUAAUAGUUUUAAUCAUUGAUUGUAUUUAGAGUGGUGUCGUCCAGAUGAAAUGGAAUCCCAAUUGUCUGCUUUAGUUGUAGCUAGACUAAGUACUUUUACUUCAUCAGGAAAUGAAGCACAUCUAGUACUUUGAACUUGGUAACUCUCGCUUGAAUGUUCCCUAAGGAGUGAAAAUGAUUACCAAGGAUAAGUACUGGUCUACGAUAUAGUCUUCUCCUUCUCACUUUACAUCUUACUCUGAUCAAUCAUGCUAGCAGACUGGACAAGAAAUAUGUGCCCACCAUUAAGUUCUUAAAAUGUCUGUUACAGUAUGCAGAGAA